UGUUCUGUGGCUCAAUUGGUAGAGCGUCUGAACGGUUCGCCGUCGCGGUUUGGUUCAGAAGGUUUCAGGUUCGAUCCCUGACGGGACAA
rnacentral:tRNA from 1 species